GCUUAGUGGAAGAAGCCAGCUGGAUUCCCUUAUCUGCUUCUGCAUUCAAUCUGUUACAAUCUGUUGUUUUGGUUGAAGUAUAUGAAGAAAAUCUCUGGAAGCACUGAAAAAAUAUUACUCUGAGAAGGGGAAAAUAGUCACCAGACUGUUAGAGGGACCUACGAUACAAGAAUAUGAAGAACACGAGGAUUUCAGAAAGAGCUGGAGAGACCUCCAUGAACUGAUGCAAAGUGAAAUAAGCAGAACCAGGAGAACAUUGUACACGGUAACGGCAAUAUUGUGGAGUGAUCAAAAGUGAUAGACUUACUUGCUAACAGUUUCUUCAUCUGUCAUCAUGAUUCAGGACAAUUCUGAGGGCCUUAGGACAAAGACUGCUAUCCACCUGUACAGACAACUCUCAGAGUAGAAAUGCAGAUGAAAAAUAUGAUUUAUCACUUGUUUAUUUGAGGAUAUGUUUUGGGGUUUUGGUUCUAUAAGGUUAUUCACUUAUAAAAAUGAAUAGAAUGGAAAUAUGUUUUGCAUGAUGACACAUGUAUAACCUAGAUUGAAUUGCUUGUCACCUCUGGGAAGGGGCAGGGAAGAGGGGAGGGAGACAGUAGGGAUCUUAUGACUCUGGAAAAUAUACGUGGAAAUCUGUUAUUAAAAAUAUCUCUCUGGUGCUAAUAAAAAAUAAUGAAGAAAAGAAAAAGAAAAGAAU
rnacentral:lncRNA from 1 species